CAAAAAACGAAAAAAAAAAGGUAUUGUUUUGUCGCAUAAGCAAUCCUGUGGUGGGAAGAUAUGAAUGCGAUCUCAGCUCUUCUUUUGGAUUUUCUAUUUUCGGCUUCAGUUGUACCCUUACGGUCUCCUUCUUGGCAACCAAAGGAGAUUUGGAGUUUGCAUAUAUAAACUAAAGGGAAUAAGGUGGUAAUUUCUGAGGAAUUAGACUUCAAAACCAAUGUAGCUUGUAAUUUGUUUUCCUUAUUUUAACCAGCCACAUACUUUUCCAUUGGUCCAUUGCCAGAUCAAUAAAAGAUAGACGAAGAG
rnacentral:misc_RNA from 1 species